UCAUAUUGCUCAAAACAUCGGCUAAAAUAAUAAUGGUGGCCCAAACCUAUAUGAAAAAAACAAAUUGUAGCCAUUUGUUCAUGGCCUCCUUUGUAGCCAUUUGUUCAUGGCCUCCUUUGUAGCCGUUUGUCCAUGGCUUUGGUGCCUGCAAUAAGAAAAACAGAUCAUGAACAAUGGAAUAUAAGAUAUACAAAUUGUAAAUGGAGUCUUGAAUAUCAUAUAUAAAACAUAGUUAACCCAAAAACUCAUAAGUUACAAAUGGAGUCUUGAAUACAAUACAUAGAACCAUUCAUCAAAAGAUAUACAACUGAAAGACUUAAUAAAAAUACAUAGAACCAUUCAUUAAAAGACAUAGAAGUUAUACCCGAUACUUAGCAUUAUGACAUACUUAACCCAAAAACUAACCCAUACCAAAGAAAAACAGACUUAACCCUUAACUCACUCAUACAAACUCUCACAUAUUUGACAACAUUUCAUUAAUGAGCUUGUUCUUAAGCUCGAAUUCUACCUCAGUAAGAGGUUCGGUUUUUCCUAGCAGAUUCUCGAGUAUCUUUUGCUUGUUAGUCUUAUCUUUCAAGGCUAACUCCUUUUCCCUUAGCUCAAAGAUGCUUCUAAAGUCCACUAAAUCCUUACCAUCUUCUUCCAAACGAGCAGCAUUGGUCUUUGUUGUUUUUUUUUGCCCUUGGAAGCUUUUACACCAGCAGGCCGAGGAAUUCCUUCAUCAUCUCCAUGCCUGAAAGGAGCAUCGGUUCCUUCAACUCUAGCACCAUCGGUUCUUCUUUUUUUUGAGCUUCCACUUCCUGCCCACUUCUGAUCAUGACGCAGUUCUCUCCAGCAGUGCUCCAUGGUGAAUUUGUGUUUGUAAUCAUUGAAAAAUAUGUCUAAAGCCAGCUUCAUUACAUCAUUUUCAUUUUGACCUGAUGUUUUUUGAGCUGAAGCUGCCUCAUACGACCCAACAAACUUGCAGACAAACUCAUUUAUCUUGGCCCAUCUCUGCUUACAGUUAGUUGGCCCUCUCUUUUCUUCAGCAGACACGUUAUCGCCGCAUAAUAGAUGGUUAUCCUUUUCCAGAAUGCAUCUGCCCUUUGCCCAUUGCUGAUGAUUGGAUCCUUGCUGGUAUUAAGCCAGGCGCUUAUGAGCACAAGAUCUUCAGCGGGAGUCCAUGGCUUCCUGGUCUUACGCUCCUUCACUUGUGAAUCACUUGGACUUGGAGCAUCACUCCAUUGUGUUCCAAACACUGGAACUUGUGAAUCACCGAGUGCUAUGGUUGUUUCCAUGGGUUCAAGGCUAUGGGUUUGGGUUAUUUGUUGGCUAGUUAGCAGGUCCAUGAAGCUUGAUGUGUCAGAAAAAGGAUUAGUUGAAUCCAUUGGAAGGUUUAGUGAAUGUGUUUAGGGUGUGUGAUUUUGGCGAGUGAGAACCAAAUGUAAGGAAAGAGGUUUGGGUGUGUGUCUUUUAAAAGAAACAAAGUGAGCUUCAAUACAUAGAAGCUUAUUCAAGAUGGAGUUAGCAUUGAAGAUAGAGUUAAAGUUAAAGUUAAGUUAGAGUUUGUAGUCAGAGUUUAUAGUUAGAGUUUGUAGUUUGUGAAGAUAUGAGCAAAAGGAACUAGUUAGAGUUUUAAUCCAAGCAUUCAUUGUGAAACAGAUGCAUUGAUUCCACUCUCUAAAACUAUUUUACAUUUAUCAACCGUGACAUAAAGCAACUACAAAACACAUCCUCAUUCAACAAAGCAUUGACUACAAUAUCUAAUGCAAACCUAACCACUACAGAGCAUUGAUUCAAGCAGUAAUCCAAUCCAUCCAAACCAUCAAUCACCAACCACAUCAAAGCGAGCCUAAUUCAUUCACUCACUAGAUUUUCGGAAAAUCAAUAAACUGAGAAGAAAUCUUACUUGUAAUAUACCCAUCUCUGACUUUGCUUUGACUGUGCUUUGCUUGCUCGAUCAAAUAAGCAUCGCCGAUCACUUGUCUGUACCUCGACCUUUAUAGAACACUCGCCACCGUUCAUCAUCCAUCCAUGCACCGAUCACCAGAACAUUUUUUUCAUCAAUGAAUUCCCAAAACAAUCUAUAGAAAACCAAUGACAAUGUUUCUGAAAUUUGAGAUUUGAAACAGAGCAGAUCAACAGAAACGACUUACAAAGACCAUCUUCUGCGGAA
rnacentral:lncRNA from 1 species